rnacentral:rRNA from 1 species
AGAGUUUGAUCAUGGCUCAGAUUGAACGCUGGCGGCAGGCUUAACACAUGCAAGUCGAGCGGAAACGAUGAUAGCUUGCUAUCAGGCGUCGAGCGGCGGACGGGUGAGUAAUGAAUGGGAAUCUGCCCGAUAGAGGGGGAUAGCCCGGGGAAACCCGGAUUAAUACCGCAUACCCUACGGGGAAAAGCAGGGGAUCUUCGGACCUUGCGCUAUCGGAUGAGCCCAUGUCUGAUUAGCUUGUUGGUAAGGUAAGAGCUUACCAAGGCGACGAUCAGUAUCUGGUUUGAGAGGACGAUCAGACACACUGGAACUGAGACACGGUCCAGACUCCUACGGGAGGCAGCAGUGGGGAAUUUUGCACAAUGGGGGCAACCCUGAUCCAGCCAUGCCGCGUGUGUGAAGAAGGCCUUAGGGUUGUAAAGCACUUUCAGUAGGGAGGAAAAGUUAGUCGUUAAUAACGGCUAACCCUGACGUUACCUACAGAAGAAGCACCGGCAAACUCCGUGCCAGCAGCCGCGGUAAUACGGAGGGUGCGAGCGUUAAUCGGAAUUACUGGGCGUAAAGCGCGCGUAGGCGGCUUGAUAAGCUGGAUGUGAAAGCCCUGGGCUCAACCUGGGAACUGCAUUCAGAACUGUCUCGCUAGAGUAUGGUAGAGGGUAGUGGAAUUUCCUGUGUAGCGGUGAAAUGCGUAGAUAUAGGAAGGAACAUCAGUGGCGAAGGCGACUCACUGGACUGAUACUGACACUGAGGUGCGAAAGCGUGGGUAGCGAACAGGAUUAGAUACCCUGGUAGUCCACGCCGUAAACGAUGUCAACUAGCCGUUGGAGAACUUGAUUCUUUAGUGGCGCAGCUAACGCGAUAAGUUGACCGCCUGGGGAGUACGGCCGCAAGGUUAAAACUCAAAUGAAUUGACGGGGGCCCGCACAAGCGGUGGAGCAUGUGGUUUAAUUCGAUGCAACGCGAAGAACCUUACCUACUCUUGACAUCCUACGAACUUUCCAGAGAAGAUUGGUGCCUGCGGGAACUCGGUUACAGGUGCUGCAUGGCUGUCGUCAGCUCGUGUCGUGAGAUGUUGGGUUAAGUCCCGCAACGAGCGCAAACCCUGUCCUUAGUUGCCAGCCUUAAGUUGGGCCACUCUAAGGAGACUGCCGGUGACAAACCUGAGUAAGGUGGGGACGACGUCAAGUCAUCAUGGCCCUUACGAGUAGGGCUACACACGUGCUACAAUGGCGAGUACAGAGGGAAGCGAGACAGCGAUGUGAUGCGAAUCUCAAAAAGCCUAUCGUAGUCCGGAUCGGAGUCUGCAACUCGACGCCAUGAAGUCGGAAUCGCUAGUAAUCGCAAAUCAGAAUGUUGCGGUGAAUACGUUCCCGGGCCUUGUACACACCGCCCGU